rnacentral:rRNA from 1 species
GACGUAGGGCGCGAGCGUUGUCCGGAUUUAUUGGGCGUAAAGAGCUCGUAGGCGGUCUGUUGCGUCCGCUGUGAAAACCCGGGGCUUAACCCCUGGCUUGCAGUGGAUACGGGCAGACUAGAGGUAGGUAGGGGAGAAUGGAAUUCCCGGUGUAGCGGUGAAAUGCGCAGAUAUCGGGAGGAACGCCGGUGGCGAAGGCGGUUCUCUGGGCCUUACCUGACGCUGAGGAGCGAAAGCGUGGGGAGCGAACAGG